GGUUGUCGUCAGCUCGUGUCGUGAGAUGUUGGGUUAAGUCCCGCAACGAGCGCAACCCUUACCUUCAGUAGCCAGCACAUAAUGGUGGGCACUCUGGAGGGACUGCCGGGGACAACCCGGAGGAAGGUGGGGACGACGUCAAAUCACCAUGCCCCUUAUGGCCUGGGCUACACACGUGCUACAAUGGCGUAAACAGAGGGAGGCAGCCCCGCGAGGGUGAGCAAACCCCAAAAAUAACGUCCCAGUUCGGAUUGCAGUCUGCAACUCGACUGCAUGAAGCUGGAAUCGCUAGUAAUCGCGGAUCAGAAUGCCGCGGUGAAUACGUUCCCGGGUCUUGUACACACCGCCCGUCACACCAUGGGAGUUGGUAACGCCCGAAGUCAGUGACCUAACCGAAAGGGAGGAGCUGCCGAAGGUGGGACCAGUGACUGGGGUGAAGUCGUAACAAGGUAGCCGUAUCGGAAGGUGCGGCUGGAUCACCUC
rnacentral:rRNA from 1 species